rfam:Candidatus Zambryskibacteria bacterium RIFCSPLOWO2_02_FTLL_44_12b rifcsplowo2_02_scaffold_16846, whole genome shotgun sequence.
GCGCCCAUAGCUCAGUUGGUAGAGCAGAUCCCUCUUAAGGAUAAGGUCCGAGGUUCGAGACCUCGUGGGCGCA